rnacentral:misc_RNA from 1 species
AACGGUCUAUACCUGCGGUACCUGCGGAAGGAUCAUUACAAGUGACCCCGGUCUAACCACCGGGAUGUUCAUAACCCUUUGUUGUCCGACUCUGUUGCCUCCGGGGCGACCCUGCCUUCGGGCGGGGGCUCCGGGUGGACACUUCAAACUCUUGCGUAACUUUGCAGUCUGAGUAAACUUAAUUAAUAAAUUAAAACUUUUAACAACGGAUCUCU